rnacentral:rRNA from 1 species
UACGGAAUGUGCAAGCGUUAUUCGGAAUCACUGGGCUUAAAGAGUCCGUAGGCGGCUUGUUAGGUGAGGUGUGAAAUCCCUCGGCCCAACCGAGGAAUUGCGCUUCAAACCGGCAAGCUAGAGGAGGAUAGAGGUGGGCGGAACUGAUGGUGGAGCGGUGAAAUGCGUUGAUAUCAUCAGGAACACCGGAGGCGAAGGCGGUCCACUGGGUCCUAUCUGACGCUGAGGGACGAAAGCUAGGGGAGCGAACGGG